rnacentral:rRNA from 1 species
CCUACGGGGGGCAGCAGUGGGGAAUAUUGGGCAAUGGAGGAAACUCUGAACCAGCAAUGCCGCGUGAAUGAAGAAGGUCUUCGGAUUGUAAAGUUCUUUAGUCAGGGAAGAAUAAAAUGACGGUACCUGAAGAAUAAGCUCCGCCUAACUAUGUGCCAGCAGCAGCGUUAAUACGUCGGGAGCAAGCAUUGUUCGGAAUGACUGGUCAUAAAGGGUGCGUAGGCGGUUAUACAAGUUAGAAGGGAAAUACCCAGGGCUUAACUCGGGUGCUGCUUCUACUACUGUAAGACUUGAGUGCAGUAGCGGUUGGUGGAAUGCCUGGUGUAGCGGUGGAAUGCGUAGAUAUUAGGAGGAACACCAGAGGCGAAGGCGGCUAACUGGACUGCAACUGACGUUGAGGCACGAAAGUGUGGGGAGCAAACAGGAUUAGAUACCCGAGUAGUC